rnacentral:lncRNA from 1 species
AAUGACUGGUUUCACGUGUCCAUCCAUGUCUGAAUCAGCUGUUACUGUCCUUGUUGCAGUUUCUGUCCAUGGUGGUCUGAUAUCUCAAAGCUGAUCAAGUUCCUGGUGGGUCUCCUGUCUCAAGCAGUAGAGUGGGAGGAGCAGUCAGGAGAGAAGACACUGAAGCUGGUAUCAUCAGUGUGUACUUACAGAACCUUCCCUUUCUGUGACGGGGAUGAUGAGGAUGAGUGGUUUCAAUGUGAUCUCCUGCUGGAUCUGUACUCACAUGUGGAGGACUAUGAGACUAAAACAGGCAGGAGUGUCCUUCCAUCAUUGAGACCACUUUAUCAGUCAGCUCCUGCAGUCUGGUCCAUAGACCUCUCAGAGAGAAAGGCCUCCCUCCUCCUAGAAGUGCUGAAACUCCAACCAGAGAAGAAACCAGUACAGCUGAAAGGCUGGUCAGAUGAAGAGAGUGAAGUGAGGAGUUUCCUUCAGUGUCUGCCUUACAUCUCACAGCUGAGUUUUACUCCACCACAGUAUCAGAGAAGAUCCCCUGAAGAGUGGAGAAAGAGAGAGAAGACAUUCCUACUGAAUCUGUGUCUUCAAGCAGCCCUCCAUGAGAGAGAAACCAUACAAACAACUGUAGGGAAAGUGUUGUCACUGUCUGAAGUUUAUCAGGGUCGGAAAUGGGAUCUCCUGCUGGAUCUGUACUCUCACGUGAAGGACUAUGAGACUAAAACAGGCAGGAGUGUCCUUCCAGCAUUACAGCCAGUUUACCAGUCAGCUCCUGCAGUCUGGUCCAUAGACCUCUCAGAGAGAAAGGCUUCCCUCCUCCUUGAAGUGCUGAAACUCCAACCAGAGAAGAAAUCAGUAGAGCUGUGGGACUGGUCAGAUGAAGAGAGUGAAGUGAGGAGUUUCCUUCAGUGUCUGCCCUACAUCUCACAGCUGAGUUUCUGUCCAUGGUGGUCUGAUAUCUCAAAGCUGAUCAAGUUCCUGGUGGGUCUCCUGUCUCAAGCAGUAGAGUGGGAGGAGCAGUCAGGAGAGAAGACACUGAAGCUGGUAUCAUCAGUGUGUACUUACAGAACCUUCCCUUUCUGUGACGGGGAUGAUGAGGAUGAGUGGUUUCAAUGUGAUCUCCUGCUGGAUCUGUACUCACAUGUGGAGGACUAUGAGACUAAAACAGGCAGGAGUGUCCUUCCAUCAUUGAGACCACUUUAUCAGUCAGCUCCUGCAGUCUGGUCCAUAGACCUCUCAGAGAGAAAGGCCUCCCUCCUCCUAGAAGUGCUGAAACUCCAACCAGAGAAGAAACCAGUACAGCUGAAAGGCUGGUCAGAUGAAGAGAGUGAAGUGAGGAGUUUCCUUCAGUGUCUGCCUUACAUCUCACAGCUGAGUUUUACUCCACCACAGUAUCAGAGAAGAUCCCCUGAAGAGUGGAGAAAGAGAGAGAAGACAUUCCUACUGAAUCUGUGUCUUCAAGCAGCCCUCCAUGAGAGAGAAACCAUACAAACAACUGUAGGGAAAGUGUUGUCACUGUCUGAAGUUUAUCAGGGUCGGAAAUGGGAUCUCCUGCUGGAUCUGUACUCUCACGUGAAGGACUAUGAGACUAAAACAGGCAGGAGUGUCCUUCCAGCAUUACAGCCACUUUACCAGCCAGCUCCUGCAGUCUGGUUCAUAGAUCUCAGAAAGAGAAACGUCUCCCUCCUCCUAGAAGUGCUGAAACUCCAACCAGAGAAGAAAUCAGUAGAGCUGUGGGACUGGUCAGAUGAAGAGAGUGAAGUGAGGAGUUUCCUUCAGUGUCUGCCCUACAUCUCACAGCUGAGUUUCUGUCCAUGGUGGUCUGAUCCCUCAAAGCUGAUCAAGUUCCUGGUGGGUCUCCUGUCUCAAGCAGCAGAGUGGGAGGAGCAGUCAGGAGAGAAGACACUGAAGCUGGUGUCAUCAGUGUGUACUUACAGAACCUUCCCUUUCUGUGACGAGGUUUAUUUUGAUGAGUCGUUUCAAUGGGAUCUCCUGCUGGAUCUGUAUUCACAUGUGAAGGACUAUGAGACUCAAACAGGCAGGAGUGUCCUUCCAGCAUUACAGCCAGUUUACCAGCCAGCUCCUGCAGUCUGGUUCAUAGAUCUCUCAGAGAGAAAGGUCUCCCUCCUCCUAGAAGUGCUGAAACUCCAACCAGAGAAGAAAUCAGUAGAGCUGAAAGGCUGGUCAGAUGAAGAGAGUGAAGUGAGGAGUUUCCUUCAGUGUCUGCCCUACAUCUCACAGCUGAGUUUCUGUCCAUGGUGGUCUGAUAUCUCAAAGCUGAUCAAGUUCCUGGUGGGUCUCCUGUCUCAAGCAGCAGAGUGGGAGGAGCAGUCAGGAGAGAAGACACUGAAGCUGGUGUCAUCAGUGUGUAUUUACAGAACCUUCCCUUUCUGUGACGGGGAUGAUUUUGAUGAGUCGUUUCAAUGUGAUUUCCUGCUGGAUCUGUAUUCACAUGUGAAGGACUAUGAGACUCAAACAGGCAGGAGUGUCCUUCCAACAUUACAGACAGUUUACCAGUCAGCUCCUGCAGUCUGGUCCAUAGACCUCUCAGAGAGAAAGGCCUCCCUCCUCCUAGAAGUGCUGAAACUCCAACCAGAGAAGAAACCAGUAGAGCUGAAAGGCUGGUCAGAUGAAGAGAGUGAAGUGAGGAGUUUCCUUCAGUGUCUGCCCUACAUCUCACAGCUGAGCUGUGAUUCUGACAGGUUCUUCCAGCGUGUGUGUGAAUCCAUCCCUGUGAGGUCCAGAGAGGAUGCCCAGCAGUUGGCCUCUCUCCUCCAGGCCUUGGGCUCCACCCUGUCACUGGGAGGACAGUUACCCAGGAAAACCUGCAGGUCUGUGGUGAGAGUGCUUGGCCUCUGUGCCUCCAGAGUGGACCUCACUCUCACCCCCAGCAAGAUCUCUCUGAAAGGAGCCUCACUUCUCUUCACACAUGUAUCACAGCUACACAAGCUCAGGCUGAAUGUGGGCAUGGCAGUGAGACUGGCCAGACUGGCUAGGAGGACAGGGAGAGGGGGUUCUCCACUGACUGUCCCAGAGCUCUCCCUGGUCCUAAAGAGCAGCCAGCCACCAGAGAAAGUGUUAUCCAGGGCUCUGAGUAGUGUGGCGUCCCUGCUGAGACUCUGGACGGUGCAGUGUCUGGACCUGACUGACUUCUGCAUCCAGGGUCACUCUCUCAUCACACUACUUUGUCACCAAGGCCCUCUCACUCUCAGACUGCACUCAGACACCCUGCAGCAGCUGGCUGUAGUUGUGUAUGAAGCUCAGGACAAGGACUUGACUCGGUGGUUCCUGGAGAAGGUUGGUGGAGACCUGACCUCCUGUAGGCUGGACUGGGAGGUGCUUCUCUCUCUGCUGCAGCAUUCAACCCACAACAUCACAGUGGACCUCAGGAAGAACAGGCUUCUAGAGAAGAACAUCUCAGAUCUUUUCCCCUUUCUGGGAAGGGUUAUAUUCAAGAGGCUCAGUUCCAGCUUUGUGAAGUCCACCAUCAGACAGAUCUAUGACAGUAGAGCCAGUGACUGUGUGUCCAGUUUGUUGAGGUCUUCAGACCAUUGGAUCAACCUGAACAGCAGAGAGCUGGACAGAGUGGACUGUACUGCGCUGUGUUUCACCCUGCAGCACAGCCACCAAGUCAAAGUCAACCUGCUGUGGACCUCCAUACCACCGGGGGAGAUAGAGAGCAUCCUGCCUCUUCUGGACAGAGUCUCCCAACUCAGUGUUGACAGGAUGCUGUUGCUGAGUUUCCUCCACUCCUGCGCUGCCUCUCAGAUCCUGCAGGGGGCACUAUCACCACCUUCAGCAAUAACAACAGCAGCAGCAGAGCUGCUCAGGGCUCUGCAGCACAGGUUGGACUUCUCCUGCUCCUCCUCUGUGGACCUGUCGGCUCACGACCAGGGGGAGGCGCUGUGUCUGACCACUGACCACUGUAGGGCCAUAAACUCUGUUCUGAAGCAGAGCCAGCACAGCACACAGCUGGUUCAGAACCCGACCCAGAACCAGUCCCGAAACCAGCCCCAGGUGCAGCUCAUCCUUAAAGACUGUGAGGUGGAGCACGGAGCACUGAGAGAGCUGCUUCCCAUCCUGCAUAUUGUCAAGCUGAGCCCCAGCAAAGCUCUGCUACUUCAGCUGGUGGACCAUGUGUGUGAGGGGAUUGAAGAGGGAGUGCUGAGGAACGCAGUAUCCCUGUGCAGAGCCCUGGAUGGGGAGCUGGACCUCAGUGAGACCAGGCUGAACCAAAAGGCCUGUGGAUCUCUGGCCCUGGUUCUGGAACACUCAGAGGGGCUGUCAGAACUGGACCUCAGCCACUGCCAACUCACAGACCGCCAUCUACAGCCCCUGCUCACACACCUGCACAAAGUUGAAGUCCUUGACCUGAGUCACAAUGACAUCACUGAUGCUCUGACCGACAGAAUUCUCCAACUGGUCUCCACCAACACUUCAAUCCGCACCGUACGGCUCUUCAGCAACAGAAUCAAGGACAGAAGUCCGUUCCUGACAGACAAGAGGUUUGACAUCUGGUGA